rnacentral:lncRNA from 1 species
CAAGGACAGUGAGUGUAUCCACUGAAGGACAUUAUCAGAGCAGCAGAGAGAGCCACAUAAAGGUUACCAGAGGAGGUGUCCAGCAUUUGUAAGCAGUCUAGGUUACUGGUCUCAGGGAGCUGAAAGAUCUUGUAAAGGGGAGUUUGACUGGAGUCAUCAGAGAGAAGAUCUCAGGAGUGUCAGGACUCAAGGUGAGGACUGAAGGGGUCCUGGCAUUUGUUCCCUCCCUGCCCUCCUGUCAGCUAUGAGAAAACCCAAGGGCCAUAGUUGCAUUCCUUCACCUCAUAUCCUCUUCCCUCUGUUUCACAGAAAUAGGCUCUUGGCUUAAAGAAACUACCCUUGGAUCAUCAGGACAAGCAGUUCAGUUCUUAUUUGUCAAGGUGAGUGUUGAGACCUCCAACAUCUCAGGACACAUGGAAUACAU